GCGUUCAUAGCUCAGUUGGUUAGAGCACCACCUUGACAUGGUGGUGGUCGUUUUUUCGUGUCCAAUUUAAAGCACAA
rnacentral:tRNA from 1 species